CGGGGCUCAAACUCACGAACGGUGAGAUCAUGACCUGAGCCAAAACCAAGAGUCGGGUGCUUAACUGCCUGAGCCACCCAGGUGCCCCGGCAAGUGUUUGUUGAAUGAAAGGAGGUUCUCCAAAUCCCUCCUUUUUAGUAAUCGUUGCUGGUUUCUUCUCCUCUGCUCACCUCUUGACUGCACAUGUCCCAGACCGUCCUGGGCGCCCUUGGCCUCUGCAGAUCACGCCUCCUCCAGACGGCUUCUCACUGUGAGGGGUGACACUGAGGCCCGGCGGGGUCUGGAUCCAGGGACUCCAGAGCCACGCGGCCCCUGCCUGUCCCUCGUGUGACAUCGCAUAUGCUGACCUAUCCAAUCCUCUUUGCGCUGGCCUGGCCUUCUACUCAGCCGCGUGUGGGGAUCUCUGAGCCAGAGUCGGGCUGAGAAACUGCAGGAAAGGGCGUUAGGAGAGGAAAACGUAGAGUGCAGCGCUCUUGAGAACUCAGGGUGUCAGCAUGCAACGUCGGAAGCUUCUUCGGAGGACUCAUUAUCGUGCGAAUUUGGAAUACACCAGCCCCUGCCCCUGACUUCAUUCAUUCAUUCAUUCAUUCAUGCAAUCAUUGAAUAAAUAUUUGUCAAGCACCUAUGGCAGAUUGAGUCCUGGGGUCAGUCACCAUUCCCUUACUACACACACAGUGCCGUGCUAAUUCUGCUGGAAUGUUCAACGCAUUUGUGGAAUAACUUUAUUCUAAAAAGACUUUUUUUUUUUCAUCUCUUCUGUAUCUUUGAAGAACUCCAAAUCAUCCUCAGUACUUAACUCCCACACUUUUACAUGCCUUGAUUUAAAAAAAAAAAAAAUCCUUGAAGCCAACCUCUGUGUAUUUAUGUCAAGAUAUGUGCAGAAUUUUCUGCUGCUGCCGUAACUAUCCGGGAGAUGCUAUCGCGGUCACGAGCGUCUGUGACCCGAGCCCCCCGCCCCGAUGGGGAGGCAUGGAUCGUGGGAAGCAGGAGCAGACCCGAGGGCUUGCGACUCCCGGGAAGACGCACAUUCGAGAGCCGUUUGGCCAAGACCGUUUCCUCUGUUUUUUGGUCCAUUUCCUCCCUUUGUUCAGAAAGCUUCGUGUUUUGUCGACUUCCCCAGGUCUGCUGGUUCCUGGAACGAAUACACCCCCAUGACUGGGCUCUUCCUUCGGUGCAGCCAAGGACGAUGCUGUAUUUUCUCUCCUCUCCAAAAAGGCACCUCUGUUUUCCAAAUCCGGUGGACCAGACUGUGCUGUUUACUCGCCAGCUCGUCUUUUUUCCCCCGGGGCUGCAGGCUGGAGGCUUCCAGGAGCAGAGGCCAGAAUGACUGCCUCUCUUUUACAAAGGUGCUGGGGUCUCGCCCUCUUCCAUUCAGAGGCAGGGCCGGUGUCUGACGGCUGAGGUGACGAGUGUUGCUAUCUGCCCCUCUCAUUUUGGGGGAGUGGUGGGGGGGGAUAGAAAGAGGCCCCAAAGAGGAGAGGACAGGGGCAUCGGACCAUGGAUCGGAUGAGCUCCCAGCUCUCUGUAGCUCUCCAAAUAAGCACCGAUGGUCCUGCCUCGGGCCCCCCUCCUUUGGUAGAGAGGUUUUCACCCAUAUCUCUAGGGGAAGAAGGCCAUGGGUUGGGGUCAUGGUAUUUAAAAGCCACUGGCUGGUAGGCGCCCGAGGGCUUGGAACCAGCAGAAAAUCCCCAGGGGCUGAUCUCCCUGUCCACCCCGCCCCCCAGCCAUUCCUUUCUCGGUGGAUUGCCACGGCCCUGACCUUGCUGGACAGUGGUGCUACGUGCUCUGCUUUAGUAACCUCCCCAUCCGAGCCCCAUGUCCCCCCCACCUCCCCCCACCCCGAGCCCUGCAACGCAGCCAUCGUGAGCCUCUUCCAGCUACUGGAACUGCUCUUGCUCACCUCUGGGCCAUCACAUGUUCUGUUCCCUCUGACAAAACACUCUCCCCUGCCCUGCUUGGCUGUGUCCUAAUCCCCCAGCAGGUUUCGGCUUCCGUGGGAUACUCCCAAGUAUGGUCACCCUUGACCACCAUAAAUGGGUUAGAGGCCCGACCCCGUGCGCCCCUGUAUCUCGGAAUGCCCCAGGAUGGCACAGGCAGGACCACAUGGGGCAGCCUCUGGGCUCAGCCACCUCCUCACCUGGUAUGUCCACUCUGCGAGGCCCAGGCCCGCGUGCUGUUUCUCUCUCCCCAGGGCCUACACGCCGGAGUCAGUUGAUAACUAUUGGAUAAAAGAAGCCCAUGCACACAGUGCCAGACGGAAGAGAAAACAAGGAGAGGAAUGAAACGCUCUGCACGACCCCUGCGUCAGAGCUGGUUUGGGUUUGGGUGGGCGGCAUUCCGGGCUCCCGGUUCCACGUUCUGGCCGGCCGACGCCUCCCUUCAAAGCACGCGCGCUCUGCAGUGGAGAAAGUCAAAGCCACGCCGGAGUCUCAGAAUCUUUGACGAACUCUCAACAAGUCAAGCACGCACACGCACACACACGCGCGCACCCACACGUGCCCCCAUUCCCCCCCGCUCGCAGACUCAUGUUGGCCCACGCUCUCAGGCCGGCAGAGGGCUUUCUGUGUGGGGAGUCAGGGAUGGGUGUGGAAUUCUCUGUCGAGCACUAUUUCAGGAGGUCGGGUGUUUUCUGGCCGCUCGGCCGCCGCGGUGGGGUCGCCUGGCAGCCAAGGGAAGGCUUGGACCGGUAGCCCCCUUCCCCAGAAGGGCCGUCUGGCCUACACAGAGCUGGGCUGUGUUGAGCAAGCCCGGCGCCUCCCGAUUCCAGAGGGCGGUUCCCGCGCCAGCCUUUGUGUGGCUGUGUGGCCAGCAGCAUGCUCUGUUUGCAGGGGCUCCGGGAGGUUUGUGGGCGUGUGGGCAGCGCUCUGUCCUGCCUGGAGCAGGUGUCCGGAGCCUCGAUUGCGCUCCUCGAUCGCAGCGCGUCUUUGACUUGCGGGGCUCUGGCCACAGGGAUCUCUCCCGGGCGGAUCAGGAAAGGGAAAGAAGCUGAGAAGAACCCCGAGCAGAAGCAGCCCCGGCCGGUGCAGCGAGAUGCAGGGACUCCCUGCAAAAUGCAAGGAGGGCAGGUGACCCGGUGAUUGCUCUGGGCGCAUUUCUGCUCCGCAGAGACGCUCCGCAGGAAGGACCGGCCUCCCCAGUCUGGACUGGACGAACUGCCCCCCUGAACGCUGCCUGACCCCUUGCUCCCUCUGAGCCACCGUGGGGGGAUUUUGGGGGGCAGGAAUGUGAAAAGGGGCAUGUGAUCCUGAUGUAAAGGAGCAAAUCACCCACAGGCUCUAAUCUCAUUUUCUUGGAGUUUUUGCUUUCGGGACAAUAUACCAGCCUGACAC